rnacentral:rRNA from 1 species
AACGAACGCUGGCGGCAUGCCUAACACAUGCAAGUCGAACGAAGGCUUCGGCCUUAGUGGCGCACGGGUGCGUAACGCGUGGGAAUCUGCCCCUCGGUUCGGAAUAACAGUUAGAAAUGACUGCUAAUACCGGAUGAUGACUUCGGUCCAAAGAUUUAUCGCCGAGGGAUGAGCCCGCGUAAGAUUAGGUAGUUGGUGGGGUAAAGGCCCACCAAGCCGACGAUCCUUAGCUGGUCUGAGAGGAUGAUCAGCCACACUGGGACUGAGACACGGCCCAGACUCCUACGGGAGGCAGCAGUGGGGAAUAUUGGACAAUGGGCGAAAGCCUGAUCCAGCAAUGCCGCGUGAGUGAUGAAGGCCUUAGGGUUGUAAAGCUCUUUUACCAGGGAUGAUAAUGACAGUACCUGGAGAAUAAGCUCCGGCUAACUCCGUGCCAGCCGCCGCAGUAA